GGAGGAUUGGCCGAGAGGUAAGGCACCGGCUUGCUAAGCCGUGGUCGGGGUCGACCCCCGCGCGCGUUCGAUCCGCGCAUCCUCCG
rnacentral:tRNA from 1 species